CAAGUCCGCGCGCGCUUCCGGGUGCCCCGCCCCCGGCGCCGGGGAUCCCAGCCCGCCCGCACGUGCACCGCCCGGCGGAGCCCGCCGGUCAGGCCCCACCCCCGGCCCGAGGCCCUGGCGCCGGGAGAAAGCGAGGACCUGACGACCGGCUCCCGGGAGUGGGCGCCGGCGGCGGGGCCUAGGGCUGGGCCGGCACCUCCGCCCCGCCCGGCCCGGUGCGGCCCCGCCGGCGGCUGCGGGCGGUACGUGGGCGGGGCAACCCCAGAGCCCUGGGCCGGAGGGAGGUGCCGAUGGAAAGACGGCAAACCCGGGAACCCGGAGUAUUUCCUAGGCACCGGACACCCGUGGGUCGGCCAGUCUUCAUUCGGACGCCGGCCGCAAGCUUAGGUGGAGAUCUCCACCGCAAAUUGUUACCGAGAGAACAAAGUCUUCAAGUUUAUAAUCCAGUGACUCACUCACAGCCACACUUCAUAAAUCAAAAAAACCCCAGAACUGACUCUUCUGUCAUUUGAUACAUGAAGGGGCAAGAUAAUGUCACCUCUGAUAGCUACCUGAAGAAGAAACAACCAUUUCUUCAGAAAAAUACAACAUGGCUCAAGAACGUUUCAGAUAAUAAUUACCAAC